AUGUCCCCACGGAAGAUACCCUUUGUGUUCACCAGCAGGAUGAUACGCAGCUUUCACUGACAUUUGUGCCUUGGAUCUACCGUUCCUCCUCCAUUUUGCUGUGACAUCAGCAAUUAUAAGAAAAUCACGACACCCAAAGGCUGCAUCAGAAGAAAGAGCCAAGUAGCUGAUAACUCUUUCUGCUUACAGAGUGGUGUUUGGUCCCAGCUUUUACCUGAUACGUGGCA